rnacentral:rRNA from 2 species
CCUAACGGCUGAACUGGCAACUUGGAGAAGUGGCAAGUCUUCCAGUAUGGGGAGCAAAACAGCUAUGGGUCAAGUCCGAUAUCUUUAGGAGAAGUCUUAUUGUGAGGGCGAGUUAUAUAACACCAUAGGACUGGCCGUCCCAUAUGAAAAGAUUAUAUUAGAAUUGAAUGAAGCUUUGUUUAUAUAUUGAUAAUGACAGUAUAUAUAUCGUGUCUUGACUAAUUGCGUGCCAGCAGUCGCGGUAAUACGUAAGAGACUAGUGUUAUUCAUCUUAAUUAGGUUUAAAGGGUACCCAGACGGUCAAUAUAGCUUAUAAAAUGUUAGUACUUGACUAGAGUUUUAUGUAAGAGGGCAGUACUUGAGGAGGAGAGAUGAAAUUUCGUGAUACCAAAGGGACUCUGUAAAGGCGAAGGCAGCCCUCUAUGUAAAAACUGACGUUGAAGGACGAAGGCACAGAGAACAAACAGGAUUAGAUACCCAAGUAGUCUUUGCAGUAAAUGAUGAAUGCCAUAGGUUAGAUUGAUCAAUUAUAGUCUAGGGUUAGUCUAGCAAACUAAUGCCCUAUGAUAUAAUUCAAAAUAUCUGGUCUAUAAAUGAAAGUGUAAGCAUUUCACCUCAAGAGUAAUGUGGCAACGCAGGAACUGAAAUCACUAGACCGUUUCUGACACCAGUAGUGAAG